CUCCAUUAAAUUCUACAAUGCACACAAGAAUAAGAAAGGGAGGAAAACCAUUCAAUGGAAAAAUCUUGCUGGCAUUCCGGAGCAGAAAGAUAGUAAGACUUGUGGGUAUUGGAUCAUGCGCUACAUGAAGGAGAUAGUGGAAGAUAAGAAUUUGGAGUUUGCAGCUAAAUGGGAAAGAAGGACAAAUCUUAUUUACACAGAAAAGGACAUUGAUCAAGUUCGGGCAGAAUGGGCGAAGCAUGUUAUCAUGUUUCCAGAUAUGUAGUGUGCGUGCUAGGAGGUUUGUCGAUGAUGAAUAGUUAGGGUUUGUUUUUGUGCAUAUUGACAUCAGCAUGCCUAUAUAGCUAGAUAUUGGAGGGUUUUUUGCCUAACCAAAUGAUCGGCUUUUGCUAUUAUCGAUCAUUUUAACCUUAGCAGCUGAUUAGUCACUUUUAGCCUAACCAAAUGAUCGGCUUUUGCUAUUAUCGAUCAUUUUAACCUUAGCAGCUGAUUAGUCACUUUUAGCCUCCAUGGAUUUUAAUCUGUUGAUUAUUUUCAACAGUUGAUGUACAUUGGUGGAAUAUGGAAAUGGUAGUACAUGAUUU